CAGAAAGAUUCUUUUUUAUGUCUGCAGAUCACAUCAUUUGAGGAAAGCAUCGGAAACCCCAGUAAAAAUAAAGCCAUAUAACAAUGUAGCUGCUGGGUAUGAAUACACUGAAUCAGGACUCUGGGAUACAAACAGAAUUAUUUAAAACUACAGUGAUAUCCACUG